GACGAACGCUGGCGGCGUGCUUAACACAUGCAAGUCGAACGGUGAAGCUCAAGCUUGUUGGGUUGGAUCAUGGCCGAACGGGGGAGUAACACGGAAGAAACCUCCCCCUGACCUGGGAAUAGGCCCGGGAACCGCCGCCUAUAACGGGAUAGGAGAGGGUUCGCCAGGGGAACUUCUUGGAAGGUUUUUCGGUUGGGGAUGGGCUCGCGGCCUAUCAGCUUGUUGGUGAGGUAAUGGCUCACCAAGGCGACGACGGGUAGCCGGCCUGAGAGGGCGACCGGCCACACUGGGACUGAGACACGGCCCAGACUCCUACGGGAGGCAGCAGUGGGGAAUAUUGCACAAUGGGCGAAAGCCUGAUGCAGCGACGCCGCGUGAGGGAUGACGGCCUUCGGGUUGUAAACCUCUUUCAGCAGGGAAGAAGCGAAAGUGACGGUACCUGCAGAAGAAGCACCGGCUAACUACGUG
rnacentral:rRNA from 1 species